UACGGGGGGAGCAAGCGUUGUUCGGAUUUACUGGGCGUAAAGGGCGCGUAGGCGGCCACCGCAAGUCAGUUGUGAAAUCUCUGGGCUUAACCCAGAACGGUCAGCUGAUACUGCGGGGCUAGAGUGCAGAAGGGGCAACUGGAAUUCUCGGUGUAGCGGUGAAAUGCGUAGAGAUCGGGAGGAACACCUGUGGCGAAGGCGGCCCCCUGGGCCGGCCCUGACACUGAGACGCGAAGGCGUGGGGAGCAAACAGG
rnacentral:rRNA from 1 species